UGGAAAGAGGAGUGGCGGACGGGUGAGUAACACGUGGGUAACCUACCCAUCAGAGGGGGAUAACACUUGGAAACAGGUGCUAAUACCGCAUAACAGUUUAUGCCGCAUGGCAUAAGAGUGAAAGGCGCUUUCGGGUGUCGCUGAUGGAUGGACCCGCGGUGCAUUAGCUAGUUGGUGAGGUAACGGCUCACCAAGGCCACGAUGCAUAGCCGACCUGAGAGGGUGAUCGGCCACACUGGGACUGAGACACGGCCCAGACUCCUACGGGAGGCAGCAGUAGGGAAUCUUCGGCAAUGGACGAAAGUCUGACCGAGCAACGCCGCGUGAGUGAAGAAGGUUUUCGGAUCGUAAAACUCUGUUGUUAGAGAAGAACAAGGACGUUAGUAACUGAACGUCCCCUGACGGUAUCUAACCAGAAAGCCACGGCUAACUACGUGCCAGCAGCCGCGGUAAUACGUAGGUGGCAAGCGUUGUCCGGAUUUAUUG
rnacentral:rRNA from 1 species